rnacentral:lncRNA from 1 species
UUACAGCCGUUCGGAUUCUCCGUUUCUAGACGCUUGUUUUUUAUCUCCUACCAUCGUCGGUGCGCGUCCCGUUAAAUAAAAUUAUUACUCAUUAAAUUCCUUACAAUUGUAAGUUUUUACAAAUUGUUGUUUUGUACUUAGGUAUUAUAUUGUACUUUUGUGUGCUACCAUCGACCAUCAACACCGUUCGCCGUCGCCGUCUCCAGGUGCCAAAUUUCCAAGUUCCAACCUACACUAUACAGUGCCGCACAGCCACAGCUUAAAGGCAUUCAUACUUUAAUAUACAAUUCUCAAUGGAAAAUACAAAUCAAAUACCAGAUUCCAGAAGAUGUGAACCAGUCAAAUUGUAUAAAAAAUCAUCUUUUGUAGAUAUAUAUGAAAGUUUGCAGUCCUUAUGGAAUGGUGAGUUUUUUUGUGACAUUAAACUACAAACGGAUGAUCAAAAAAUAAUAUCUGCACAUAAAGUGGUUUUAUCAGCAGCUAGUCCGUAUUUCAAUGCAUUGUUCACAAAUUUUGCAGGAAGGUAUCAUGAUCACAUAUUUAUGAAACAGUUUGACUCAACUGCUUUACUGCUCUUAGUGAACGUUAUUUAUUCAGGACAAAUCGAGGUCACUGAUUUUGCUACCGGUUGCAGACCUCUUGCAGUUACAAGGAGUAAACGAGGCUUGUUGUGAUUUUUUACAGUCACAGCUCUAUCCUACAAAUUGUAUCGGUAUUAACACAAUAGCUGAUGUACAUAGCUGUACAAAAUUGAUAAUAAAGAAGUUGUUGGUGGUUACAAAUUCCUAUCCUUAUCAUUGAAACAAGUAAUUAAGUUGAUAUCCAGUGAUAGACUUCCAGUAUCAUCUGAUGAAAAAGUAUUUGAAAGUGUUAUUAGUUGAGUAAAAUAUGAUUUGGGUUCAAGACAAUGUGUUUUAUCCCAAUUAAUGGCAACAUGUACGAUUACCAUUAACAUCGAAGGAUUACAUAUUAAAAAAUGUACCUGAAGAACCUCUUAUAAAGAAUUGUUUAAAAUGUUGUCAUUUUGUAUUGGAGGCAUUAAAUACACUCGAAUCAGAAGAGCUUAUUCCACAAAGCAUCCAGAAUAAACCCAGACAUGGAGAAAAAGUUAUAUUAGUUGUUGGUGGAAAUAGGUCUAGAAGAAGAAAUAGUUUAGAAUGGUUUGAUACACGAACGAACCUAUGGCAUUUUGGACCAGAAUUGAUUUCAAACUUUAGAAGAAAUAGUCUAGUUGUAAUGAACGAUAAAAUUGUAUUUGUUGCGGGUGGCUAUUUUAGUGGUUUAUCACAAUAUUAUCAGAGUCUUUUUACGCUAGAUUUAUCUUUAGAAUCGCUUUGUUAGCAAUGAUGUGUGGACAUAAUAGUUGAACGACAAACGUUCGGAGCUGGUGUAAUAAACGAUAAUAUCUAUGCCGUAGGCGGAUGGAGCUUUACAGAUGGUCAUUGCAGAAGUGCAGAAGUUUAUAACUACAAUACUCAAACAUGGCAUAUGAUAUCAAAUAUGUCUACUAAAAGAUCUUCAUGUGCGGUUGGAGUCCUGAAUGAUCUGUUAUAUGUGAAGCAGUCGCGUUAGAUGGUUUAUUGUAUGUCGUCGGUGGAAUGGACAAAUCCUUUAAUUUGGAUCAUUUAGAAUUUUACAACCCAAACACCAAUACCUUUACCAUGGUCACAGUAAAAUGGAAUAUUAUGCGGUUUUCACCUGGAUUAGUAGCCAUUAAUAGGCCACAACAUUUUACAACUCGUUAGCAUUCAUGAUUUUUUUUUGUAUAAAUGUUUUCAUAUAUUGCUUUAUUGUAUCUUACACUAUAUAUAGGUUAUACAAUUCAUGAAUUUUUUUCUUAUAUAAAUAUUUUCCUAUAUUGUAUA